GGAUCUAGAAUCAGGGGCGGAGUGAGAGCUCCGCGCCCGCCGCCUCCUCCCGAUUCCCCGCUUUCUUUCUCACCGCGCGCACACGCAUUUUUCGCGGCUGAUGUCACCGCGUUAUCCGGUCCGCAAAUCCCCUCCUCCUGUUCCUCUCUCCCCAUCACAACGAGACCUCCCCCCCUCCCCCACAGACACAUGCACCCCAACCCCAAAGCGACACCCCCUCAGAUGAAGUUCAGUUGAAGUUAAGCUGAAGUUUUUCCCAUGAAGCCCCGCGGCCUUGAGGUCUGUUCUUCUUCUUCCCGUUGAAUCUGCAACGGCCUUGAAUGAGUCACCAUGCUGAGGUCUGGGAAAGUUCCUUAAAAUGUCCGCGGUGCGUCCCGUGACCUGCCGUCCUUCCCUCGUUUCACAUCCGCACAACAAACAAACAAACAGCGACAACAACAAAAAGAGCUGUGACUUUGUCCUCAAACCUGAAUUGGACAUGAAUUGGACUUUUGUUGCGAACACACGCACGUCCCACCGACGCGACUCGGGUUUAGCUUUAGUCACAUGAGGCCUCGCCUCGCCUCAUCGGUUAGUUCAGCGCACGGCAGAAGAGCCUCCGAGCUUUUUGGGUGAACGUCACGCCUCGUUCUCGUGAUUCAAGAGACUCUGAAAGAGUUCGUUUGUGAGGUCGAAACCACCACGACCUCAUUACGCUCUUAAUGCUCGGCGCAUUCGGUGAAGGAGUCCAGUUUGACGUUGUGAUCGCUCGCGGUCGCUGAAGCGAUCCACCUGUGAUCGGCCAAAUGGGAUGGAGGCCGCAUGGGAUGGAGGCCACAUGUGAUGGAGGCCGCAUGGGAUGGAGGCCACAUGGGAUGGAGGACUCUCGGCGGCACAGUGUGGGUCAUUGUUUUCAACGGAUGCAAAUCGGCACACGCCGGUUUGCAUAGAACCGGCUUCCUUUUACGACGACCCAAAAGCUCCCAGAGAGGGAGGGGUGGUGGAGGGGUGGGGGGGUUAUUAGCAUGCUGGGCUUUAUGGAAACGCCCUGAAGGCCACAGACAGGCAAGAGGUCCCCAACGUGGUCUCGCCAGGAGAACAGUGAGUGAACGCGCUCGGCGUCUCUAAUCGCCUCCAAUGUCUCCGGGAGGAUCUUUUCUCCGCGUCCCAUGCUGCAUUCUGUCUGGGACAAACCCCCCCCAAAAAAAGCUUCCGUGCGGCGUUGGGACCGGGGGGAGGGGACGGGGGGAGGUGCAGAAACGGUGAGGAGAACACUGCCGCAGUGAGGAGCAUGGAGGAGCUGGCCGGCCUCACGACAUGCUCAGUCCCUGACCCCCCCCCCCCAAAAAAUAAGGAAGUUCUUGUCUUUCUCAUCACAAGACCGACUCCCCCUUCCUCCCCCAAACGGAGAUGGUUGUGCCAGCUUGUUUGAAUGCAUCGUAUUGAAGGGGACAGAGGGACAAGCAGGGACAUUCACAGCUCUUGUUCUGCUGCUCUUACUUCGUAAGAACAAACCUCGUGGUCCGGAAGGUCUUAAGGGUUGAUCAUAACCCUUUUUGUAAUGAUUACUGGGAUAAUCGACACACAAACCCGGGCUCCGACGGCACAAGAGUUCAGUGUAAGAGUCGAAUUGUCCACAUUCAACAAGGCGAAGCGCGUUGGACGAGAGAAAGAAGAGGACAACAUCGUGGCGGUUUAGUUUAGUAGCACUUGGGUGGAUUUCAAGAUAAUCGCCGUCCAAAGCGUCCUCGGGGUGACUCGAGUCAUUCGGAGCUCUGUUGGGCCCCCCCCCCUGCGGCCCCCGCCUCAACGUGUCAGGCGGUCGAGCGUCCCGGUGACGUUGGCUGGUGCC
ensembl:lncRNA